GUGGCCCACCCUGAAGAGGUGGCAGUCGCAUGGGCUAGGCUGUAACAGAAAGAUGCGUAUGUGCUGCGAGGAGGUAGAGCGAGCUGGUGGUACCGGCUUCACCGGAGGGACUUUCAAACGUGUCUGCUUCUCCUGGAGCCCCCACCCACGCGCCAGAAGGAAAAGUAUCCUUUUGCUUCACCUGAAGGCAAAUGAGGAGGCUUGCAGAAUAUGCGGCUUGAAGACCACGACCCCUGCUUUCAGCACGGAGAAUCAAGCGACCUGUACCUUAGUAUGUAACUGACAUGCGCACAACGGGAGCCCACCCGAGGCUCACUCAGCUCAUCAUCAACAGGCGCAGACGGUGGCACAUCCUUCUCCAAAAGACCGUGCUCACGAAGUAGAAGCUAGAGUAGUGUGGGCAUUAUGACCAGUGAGAGAAUGUACUGGGGAGAUGGGGAUGUGGAUGGAGGACAAGGAGGAAGUUGUAUACCCGAGCACACACGCUUCGGCCACACAGUUCCCACGUCACUGAAAGACUCACGCCACGGAACGACUCUACACGUAGCUCUCAUGGUAGCUGAAACAAACAUCCGUUCACCAAGUGAGGUGAUAUUUAGUCAGGUAUCUUGAUGUCUUAAAUGUGAAAAUCCUUUUCUGAGGCUCAGUGAGAAGCAAUUUGCUUCAUAAGCAGCCGUCAUUGACUGAAUUUGCAGUGCCCUGGCCAGUACCCCGGCUGGUCAGUCAUUAACCCUUCCGAGCCCCUUCUAUUUCAAGUGUAGCACGAACAUAACACCCCCCGCAGAGAAACCAAGACGUAACUGAGAUGCAUGUUGGAGGUCAGCACAUACUGCCACCCUGGUCCUAAGUUGUUCCUCCCUAACCACCCUGCAGGGGGCAGUGUGACACCGGGGCUGACUGCCAACCAAGGCGGGGUCCCUACUUAGCUGCGUGUGUGUGACUUCAGGCAAAGUGCUUCAAUUCCCUGCUUCUCAGAAUCAUUCUCUGUAAAAAAGCUGAAAAUGAUAGCAUUUGAGUUUAAGAUGAGACCUGACAUUUAAAGCGUUUGGCACAGAGCCUGGCCCUCAGCGCUCACCAGCAUUGGUUUUUUCGGGUCAUUACUACCGCCCUUCAUAGGGCCAUGGCGGUAGAAUUUAUUAGCUUUGAUGAUGAGGCCCAUCUCUGUCCCCCAGAAAUCCGGACAGUCUGUUUGAAACACUCUUACCCAUUGCCCUUGUUCUUUUGGUGACUGAAGGCCUUCAGUUUAGUCAGUCUGAGCAUAAAAAGUGGAUUUCCAGCAGGGGAGGUGGAGGAGGAAUAGCCACAGAAUUCCAUGCUAACUCGGGAGCUUUUAAACCAGAGGUCUCCUGCUGGCUCUUUUGAGAUAGGUCCUCCCCCAAAUUCUAGGUAUCUGGUCACCAUCCUCCAAAAUCACUGGAUGGCUUUGAUCCAGUCCUCUCUAUUUUAACCACCAGCUCUUCCUUUAAACAGUUGAUUGGAGAGGGGUGGUUCUCCUCAGGGGAGGCUCGGAAUCCCUCUCCUGUCCUUCUCUGCAAUGCUGUCUUGGUUACCACACUACUCCAGCAUCUGUGCCUCCUCCUGCAGUCUCUGGGUUCCUUCUGGGCUGACAGGAGUAAGAUAUAAGAGACUGGGAAAAGGUACCUCCAGUUCACUUGGACUCGCAUUCGAUAUUUGAAAUACAGUAAUAGUUAACAACCUUAAACCCAAAAGCAUGUCUCAGUAUAAUAUUUUUACAUUAUCACAAGUCAAAUGUUCUGGGCAAACAAGACUAUUUUUAAUCAAGAAUAGCAAGGAGUGCCUUCCUGCAGGAAAGACUAAUUUACCAAAACUUGAUGACCCUUAAAAUCGGGUAGCUAUCCACAGCUGUGAAUCACCUUAGGCCGACUUCUCCAUGAUGACUGACCGCAAACCUGAUGGCUUUCAACAGCAAAGGCUGCCAUCGCUCUUCUCAUCAUGCCGACCAUACUUCCAAAGACACACACACACACACACACACACACACACACACACACACACACACACACAGAGAGAGAGAGAGAGAGAGAGAGAGAGAGAGAGAGAGAGAGAGAAUAUUCCAGGGACAGUUGAAGACUCUCCCCAGUAGUACCACAUUUAGUUUUCACUCAGAUUGUUUUAGUUAUAAAAGUCACAAGCCAUGCCAACCCCACCUAGAUCGAUGGAUGGUGCGGACACAGGUGCCGUCUCCAUAGCGACGCAGCUGGGAUAUUUGUUUACAUAGGGACUGAGCCGGGAGACAGAACUUCUGACCUCUGCUUAUGUCUGUUCUGUGCAGCGUGACUUCUAGGAAAAAAAAUUCAGAGCUUAGGACACCUCAUCUAUGCAACCUUACUCAAGUCUAAGUUCGAAGUCGUGAUACCAAUGGAGGAGCAGAGGGGCCUCUGCUGUCUGUGGCUAUGCGCACUGACCCCCACUCCCAGCCUCCCCUUUUGAAUUUUUUUCUCUGUUACUCAUCUGUUCCUUUUUAGACCAGGGAAGUUCCACAGACCGCUCUGUGCGUCGGCACUAACUACUUGGCUUCUGCCCUUUGCCUCCCAGCUCAGAACGCAGCCUCCACUGCUGGGUACCAGUAGAUCACGCCAGACUACAAAAGUCACCUCGUCCUGUUGCUUCCCUUUCUAGGGAUGCGAACCCGAUUUCACCUGAACCUCUCUUGCCAGCAGUUCUGUCUGACCACUGGGAGCUUUCUGGCGGUGACGGCUUUGCGCGACUGCAGGGGAUAAGCCCCAAAUCAAAAUUCCUUAUCCUCAGAAUCAGUCAUCAGUGAAGAGAAAGACACCCAAGGAGAGGCAGAAGAACCUGGCGAUCCCUUCUUGCUCUCAGGCAUGCUAGGGAUGGUACCCGGGGCGUGGCGCUGGCUAGGCCAGCAUUCUGCCGUAAAGCAGUGUCCCUAGCCCCAAACCUCGCAGUCGGAUCUUGGGUCAACUGCGAUACUAUACCCGAACUGUUCAACUCAAAGACUUUUGGCUUUUGUUUUUAGUCCAUUGCCAUGGAGGGAGCAGUCUUGUUCUGCCACGCACUCCUGACCAUGCUGUGUGGCUCACCUGCCAGGCCCAGAUCCAGAACAAAUCCAGGGCAAACAUCUCCCCCCCCCCACGGAUCUCAGUGCUUGUCUCAGUGACACGAAGCUCAGUGGCAGGGUUGCUGUCCUCACCUCCCAGUCCAGUGUUUUCCCCUUUGCAGUUUCUCCGAGGCCUGUUUCACAGCAUCCCUUGACUCAUCUCUUAUCACGAGAGAAUAUUAACUGAAGAGCUUGUGAUCUCUCCAAGAGCAACAACUUUUUUUAAUCUUCAUGCCCUAGGGUGACAGUGUUAGCUGAGCAAAUUAUAGGGAAAGCAUGCUUCUUGGGAGAAUAUUUAAGUUUGUGAAAAACAUCUUAAACUCCUUUAGGGUUGCUUUUUCAUACGAGACAAUGUAAUAAAUGCCAAGUGACG